rnacentral:rRNA from 1 species
GACAAACGCUGGCGGCAUGCCUAAUACAUGCAAGUCGAACGCUGAAGCACCCUGCUUGCAGAGUGCGGAUGAGUGGCGAACGGGUGAGUAACACGUGGGGAAUCUGCCUAUAAGUGGGGGAUAACAUUCGGAAACGGAUGCUAAUACCGCAUAUAUUCUUGGACCGCCUGGUCCUUGAAAGAAAGACGGCUUUGCUGUCGCUUAUAGAUGAUCCCGCGGCGUAUUAGUUAGUUGGUGGGGUAAAGGCCUACCAAGACAAUGAUACGUAGCCGACCUGAGAGGGUGAUCGGCCACACUGGGACUGAGACACGGCCCAGACUCCUACGGGAGGCAGCAGUAGGGAAUCUUCCACAAUGGGCGAAAGCCUGAUGGAGCAAUGCCGCGUGAAUGAAGAAGGUCUUCGGAUCGUAAAGUUCUGUUAUUAGAGAAGAACAAGUCAAGGAAUAACUGUCUUGACUUUGACGGUACCUAACCAGAAAGUCACGGCUAACUACGUG